UACGGGAGGCAGCAGUGGGGAAUAUUGCACAAUGGGCGCAAGCCUGAUGCAGCCAUGCCGCGUGUAUGAAGAAGGCCUUCGGGUUGUAAAGUACUUUCAGUCGUGAGGAAGGUGUUAAGGUUAAUAACCUUAGCAAUUGACGUUAGCGACAGAAGAAGCACCGGCUAACUCCGUGCCAGCAGCCGCGGUAAUACGGAGGGUGCGAGCGUUAAUCGGAAUUACUGGGCGUAAAGGGCACGCAGGCGGUUAAUUAAGUUGGAUGUGAAAUCCCCGGGCUUAACCUGGGAAUGGCAUUCAAGACUGGUUAGCUAGAGUCUUGUAGAGGGGGUUAGAAUUCCAUGUGUAGCGGUGAAAUGCGUAGAGAUGUGGAGGAAUACCGGUGGCGAAGGCGGCCCCUGGACAAAGACUGACGCUCAUGCGCGAAAGCGUGGGGAGCAAACGAGGGAUUAGAUACC
rnacentral:rRNA from 1 species